AUGGAAGUUGGACAUAUCAAUAGAAAAUCUAACAAAUAUGUGUAUGGUUUUUAAAGAUAUUUUUAAAAGUUUUUUGGGAAAGAUUGCAGAAUUUUUAUCUCUGGUUAUCCUAGUUAAUGAUGCUUAAUGUAUUCUUGUUAUCAUCGUACAUUUGUUCAUUAUGCAUGUUUAAUAUGUUAUUUCUAUGUGAUGCAUAACUCAUACC
rnacentral:lncRNA from 1 species